rnacentral:tRNA from 1 species
GGCAAGUUGAGCAAUGGUAGCGCCGGAUUUAGUAUCUGGAAAUGACAGUUCGAAUCUGUAACUUGCCAC